GUGCGAAGAUAUAAAUUUUACGUUUGAGUGAGUAAAAAAUAUUGUUUUCAGUUUUCACCACGAGAAGAUAAAAUAAUAAUAAGAUAUGAAACUUCAAGCCACCGUGCAUUUAAUGUUCUUUUUAUUAUAUAGUCGUUAGUAAAAACAACAAAGAAAAUGAACACUUAAUCGAUAUCUUCACUAGUGCAGAUCUAGUUAUGGAAAAUAUCUCACUGUGUAUUUUUUGGUGUCCGGGACUGUCUACUAUAAAUAAAUUAGGGUACGAGUGCUUUUGUUUCGAAUUAAGAAUACAAACAAUGAACU